rnacentral:lncRNA from 1 species
UAGUAAAAGUGUAUUGUUGGUCAUGCCAGCUGAAAACUAAUUACUUCUGCUGUUCUUUAUUAAUAGGUAGAGAAAAAAUACCAUUCGCCAAAUCAAUAGCUGUAUAACAGGUACCUGAGAAUGUACCGAAAUGCUCCAGUAAUGAAACCACAUUCGGAACAGCAGCUGCAAUUGCUCGAUAAUGUUUAUGAUAAUCUACUAUCAUUGUCUAAGACCCAUCUGUCUUCUGCACAGGCCAAUUCUGUUCACCUAUAAGGUCUAGAAACAAUGACGAACCCAGGAACAAUGAGCAUGACUAGCAUCCAAGUUGUGAUCUCUAUAUGACAUUCUGUAUUAAAAAAAGUCUUUCCUAGAAAAAUGGGUGCUUCUCUGUAUGGAGCUCGGAAUAUAAAAGGUGAGUAUAGAAUGUCUUGUUAUGCCAGAAAAAAAGAGAUGCUAUUGAAGACUGCUAUAAUUCUGUC